AAAGUACUCCCUCCGCCCCAAAAUUCUUGUCUUAGAUUUGUCUAGAUACGGAUGUAUCAAGUCACAUUUUAGUAUUAGAUACAUUCAUAUCUAGACAAAUCUAAGACAAGAAAUUUGGGACAGAGGGAGUAGUUG
rnacentral:pre_miRNA from 1 species